rnacentral:lncRNA from 1 species
GUCCAGUAUUUCUUCAGUUAGUUCCUUAACUAGCUCUGAUUCUGUUAAUUUAAUAGAAGAUGACAGAACUCUUCAAGGAUUACCCGAAAUGGCAGAAUCCACCUGGUGGUUUAAAUCUUUUUUCCAUUCUGAACCUGUGCUUUCAAAUGUGAGAAACAAAGAUUUAUCUUCUAGUGGCACUCACAGUUGAUUCUGACAAUCAAGAUCUCUCCCUGCUGUGGUGCUACAGACGUGAACCCUUAAGCUCAGCAUGCCAGCUAUUCCAGAGGACUCUUCCCUAUUGUAAGAAGACAAAACCUACCUGAGAUCUCAUUUCUGAGGCAAUAUCACAGAAGCUGCUCAUAGCAGAAAUUUAGGCAUUUUCCUUAACACUAUCACAGCAAGUGGUACCAGCGACAUGGAGAACAUUUACAAACCUGCCUUUAGAGAUGUUCACCUAUUUAAAGUAAUGAGUCUCCAAAUGCAGUGACUUAGGUAAAACAGUCCUUUCAUUAUCUAUAUUAUUUUUAUCUAGAAAUUUAAUUUAGACUCUUUUUAUGUCUGCUAUAUGUUAUAAUGCCUUAAAACUGAAGAAGCCUCUAUGCUUCUUCAGAGGUAAAUAUAUUACCUCUUAAAUAUAGUACCAUACAUCUAACCAAUUGAUUUGUAGUGUAGAGUUUAAAAUUCUUGAUUUAAAUAAUAUUUAAGAACAUGGAAAAUUAUAACACAAUAUUAAUAAAAAGUGAGAUAAUAAAAACUGUGUGGUAUGAUUUUAAUUGUAUUACUGAUUACAAAUGGAUAAAGUAGAUUGGAAAGAACUAUGUCAAAAAUGCUAGCAGUGGUCAUUUCUGGAUUUGGGAUUGUGAAUACGUUUAUUUUUUCUUGAUAUAUUCUACUUCAAAUUAUAUAAUAUUACUUUUUUGUAUUAAUAGG